AGUGAACGCUGGCGGUAGGCCUAACACAUGCAAGUCGAACGGCAGCACAGUAAGAGCUUGCUCUUACGGGUGGCGGGUGGCGGACGGGUGAGGAAUACAUCGGAAUCUACUUUUUCGUGGGGGAUAACGUAGGGAAACUUACGCUAAUACCGCAUACGACCUACGGGUGAAAGCAGGGGAUCUUCGGACCUUGCGCGAUUGAAUGAGCCGAUGUCGGAUUAGCUAGUUGGCGGGGUAAAGGCCCACCAAGGCGACGAUCCGUAGCUGGUCUGAGAGGAUGAUCAGCCACAUGGGAACUGAGACACGGUCCAGACUCCUACGGGAGGCAGCAGUGGGGAAUAUUGGACAAUGGGCGCAAGCCUGAUCCAGCCAUACCGCGUGGGUGAAGAAGGCCUUCGGGUUGUAAAGCCCUUUUGUUGGGAAAGAAAAGCAGCAGGUUAAUACCCCGCUGUUCCGACGGUACCCAAAGAAUAAGCACCGGCUAACUUCGUG
rnacentral:rRNA from 1 species